rnacentral:misc_RNA from 1 species
GGAAGAUCAGGAUGUCGUAUAAUCAGAACUUCCAGCUGACUCGCUACGACUACUCCUGGGAGGAGAGGAGGCCUCGCUACGAAUCUUACCCGUUGCCUUACGGCUCUCAGAUUCAAUUUGGAGGAGUCUAUGCAGGCUAUCCACCGCCUUUCGGGAACUUCGACAGGGACGCCUACAACUUGACUGAUAUUGCAAACCAGGCCACCUACAACGAUAGUCAAGCUAAUAUCGACAGUUCAACAGCGUCUGGUCCCAAUGGAGGCAACAGCAAACCCUACAACUUCACUAAGAUUGCACAAGGGGCCACCUACAACAAGAGCACUGCUCAUAUUACCAGCAAAACAGGCUGCUAACAAACAUCAGGAACAGUAAGCUC